GAUGAACGCUGGCGGCGUGCUUAACACAUGCAAGUCGAACGGAAAGGCUCCUGCUUGCAGGGGUACUCGAGUGGCGAACGGGUGAGUAACACGUGGGUGAUCUGCCCUGCACUUCGGGAUAAGCCUGGGAAACUGGGUCUAAUACCGGAUAGGACGAUGGUUUGGAUGCCAUUGUGGAAAGUUUUUUCGGUGUGGGAUGAGCUCGCGGCCUAUCAGCUUGUUGGUGGGGUAAUGGCCUACCAAGGCGUCGACGGGUAGCCGGCCUGAGAGGGUGUACGGCCACAUUGGGACUGAGAUACGGCCCAGACUCCUACGGGAGGCAGCAGUGGGGAAUAUUGCACAAUGGGCGCAAGCCUGAUGCAGCGACGCCGCGUGGAGGAUGACGGCCUUCGGGUUGUAAACUCCUUUCGCUAGGGACGAAGCGCAAGUGACGGUACCUGGAGAAGAAGCACCGGCUAACUACGUG
rnacentral:rRNA from 1 species